rnacentral:rRNA from 1 species
GACGAACGCUGGCGGCGUGCUUAACACAUGCAAGUCGAACGGAAAGGCCCUGCUUUUGUGGCGUGCUCGUGUGGCGCACGGGUGUGUGUCACGUGUGUAACCUGUCCUUGUCUUUGGGAUAACUUCUGGAAACUGGGGCUAAUACCCGAUAGGAGCUCCUGCUGCAUGGUGGUGGUUGGAAAGAUUCGGCGGUUGGGUAUGGACUCGCGGCUUAUCAGCUUGUUGGUGGGGUAGUGACGUACCAAGGCUUUGACGGGUAGCCGGCAUGAGAGGGUGGCCGGGCACAAUGUGACUGAGGUAGGGCCCAGACGGCAACGUGCGGCAACAGGGGGAAGCAUUGCGCAACAGGCGGAGGCGUGAAACAACGACUUCGGGUGCGAGAAGACGGCCUUCGGGGUGUAAACCGCGUUCGACUGUAACGAAGAGUGAGUGACGGUAAUGAGUAAAAAAGCAACGGCUAACUACGUG